GAUCAUGGCUCAGGACGAACGCUGGCGGCGCGCCUAACACAUGCAGGUCGAACGAGCGAGAGAGAGCUUGCUUUCUCGAGCGAGUGGCGAACGGGUGAGUAACGCGUGAGGAACCUGCCUCAAAGAGGGGGACAACAGUUGGAAACGACUGCUAAUACCGCAUAAGCCCACGGUGCCGCAUGGCACAGAGGGAAAAGGAGCAAUCCACUUUGAGAUGGCCUCGCGUCCGA
rnacentral:rRNA from 1 species